CCUACGGGAGGCAGCAGUGGGGGAUAUUGCACAAUGGGCGCAAGCCUGAUGCAGCCAUGCCGCGUGUAUGAAGAAGGCCUUCGGGUUAUAAAGUACUUUCAGCGGGGAGGAAGGGAGUAAAGUUAAUACCUUUGCUCAUUGACGUUACCCGCAGAAGAAGCGCCGGCUAACUCCGUGCCAGCAGCCGCGGUAAU
rnacentral:rRNA from 1 species